rnacentral:rRNA from 1 species
UACAGAGGGUGCGAGCGUUGUCCGGAAUCAGCUGGGCGUAAAGGGCGCGUAGGUGGUGGCUUAAGCGUGCGGUGAAAGCUCGGGCUCAACUCCGAGUCGGCCGUGCGAACUGGGCUCACUGGAGCAUAGUAGAGGCAGGUGGAAUUCCGGGUGUAGCGGUGGAAUGCGUAGAGAUCCGGAAGAACACCGGUGGCGAAGGCGGCCUGCUGGGCUAUGGCUGACACUGGGGCGCGACAGCGUGGGGAGCAAACAGG